rnacentral:rRNA from 1 species
CGUCAAAUCAGCACGGCCCUUACAUCCGGGGCUACACACGUGUUACAAUGGCAUGGACAAAGGGCAGCUACCUGGUGACAGGAUGCUAAUCUCUAAACCAUGUCUCAGUUCGGAUCGAAGUCUGCAACCCGACUUCGUGAAGCUGGAUUCGCUAGUAAUCGCGCAUCAGCCAUGGCGCGGUGAAUACGUUCCCGGGCCUU